CAGCCGCGGUAAUACGGAGGGUGCAUGCGUUAAUCGGAAUUACUGGGCGUAAAGCGCACGCAGGCGGACUGUCAAGUCGGAUGUGAAAUCCCCGGGCUCAACCUGGGAACUGCAUUCGAAACUGGCAGGCUAGAGUCUUGUAGAGGGGGGUAGAAUUCCAGGUGUAGCGGUGAAAUGCGUAGAGAUCUGGAGGAAUACCGGUGGCGAAGGCGGCCCCCUGGACAAAGACUGACGCUCAGGUGCGAAAGCGUGGGGAGCAAACAGGAUUAGAUACCCUGGUAGUCCACGCCGUAAACGAUGUCGAUUUGGAGGUUGUGCCCUUGAGGCGUGGCUUCCGGAGCUAACGCGUUAAGUCGACCGCCUGGGGAGUACGGCCGCAAGGUUAAAACUCAAAUGAAUUGACGGGGGCCCGCACAAGCGGUGGAGCAUGUGGUUUAAUUCGAUGCAACGCGAAGAACCUUACCUGGUCUUGACAUCCACAGAACUUAGCAGAGAUGCUUUGGUGCCUUCGGGAACUGUGAGACAGGUGCUGCAUGGCUGUCGUCAGCUCGUGUUGUGAAAUGUUGGGUUAAGUCCCGCCAACGAAGCGCAAACCCUUAU
rnacentral:rRNA from 1 species